UUUGCUAAUCCUCACACUUUAUACUCACACAAAAGACUCUCUCCCUUCACCUCCUGUCUCUUUGCACAGAUUUAAUGUCAUAAUGUUUCAGUGACUUCUCAGACUGUUGGAAUCUCAUUAUUUAUACAGCAUAAAUAAUUAAACUAGACCCUCUUUUUAAAAUUAAAUGAACCGUGUAUUUCUGAACUAGUUACCUUAGUGAUAAAUUGUGCCCAAAGCUGAUCAUCUCUUACAUGCAAUUAAAGUGUUCACUGAUCUCUUGCACUGUGGCUUCAAAAUUAGGAAAGUCACCCAGCCAAGGACAGACUGUGUGGGAUGCAUUAUGGGCAGCUUAUCCAUCAGCAGUAUGGUGCUCAUAUUAUACUUUUCCCCCUGUUUUCUUGGAAGCCAAAAGUCACUGAUUUUGGUGAAUUUGUCUCCAGGUAGUUCUGCUGCUCGGUCACUGGGAAUAUUAUCCCAUGCUUGUGGGCAGCGGCACUUGUGGAAACCUCAAAUUUGUCAGUAAGCACAUACUUUGUCCCUUGUUCUUCCUUCCCAGGUUACUUGUCUAUUGCUGAUCGGAGGGUGUGAUGUGGAGAUGAGUUCCAAGAAGCUGUAUGGUGCUUGCACGGCCCAAGAGACAUCAAACCCUUUCAAGUCUGACUGCCACGAAAAGGGGAGUCUCCCUGUGAUUAUUGAUGGUUGAGGAGACCAAUUGCUAUAAGGGCUGGGAAUCUGACUCCUAUGGAGGAAGGUGGUUGCAAAUUCAUGCUGAAAUGAGCAAGACCUUCUAAUUCACCGAGAUGGGACUUCAGGAAGCUCUUCAACUGCCCUUCUCAGUUUGUACUUUUGUGUACCUUCAGUUUUCUGAGAAGUCCUUCGCUCUGUUUUCUCUGACUCAACAUAUGGCCAAUGAAUGGGGGGCAAAA